GGGAUCAUUACCGAGUUUACAACUCCCAAACCCCUGUGAACAUACCUAUACGUUGCCUCGGCGGAUCAGCCCGCGCCCUGUAAAACGGGACGGCCCGCCCGAGGACCCUAAACUCUGUUUUUAGUGGAACUUCUGAGUAAAACAAACAAAUAAAUCAAAACUUUCAACAACGGAUCUCUUGGUUCUGGCAUCGAUGAAGAACGCAGCAAAAUGCGAUAAGUAAUGUGAAUUGCAGAAUUCAGUGAAUCAUCGAAUCUUUGAACGCACAUUGCGCCCGCCAGUAUUCUGGCGGGCAUGCCUGUUCGAGCGUCAUUUCAACCCUCAAGCUCAGCUUGGUGUUGGGACUCGCGGUAACCCGCGUUCCCCAAAUCGAUUGGCGGUCACGUCGAGCUUCCAUAGCGUAGUAAUCAUACACCUCGUUACUGGUAAUCGUCGCGGCCACGCCGUAAAACCCCAACUUCUGAAUGUUGACCUCGGAUCAGGUAGGAAUACCCGCUGAACUUAA
rnacentral:rRNA from 1 species